UACGUAGGGGGCUAGCGUUGUCCGGAAUCAUUGGGCGUAAAGAGCGUGUAGGCGGCUUGGUAAGUCCGCUGUGAAAGUCCAGGGCUCAACCCUGGAAUGCCAGUGGAUACUGCCAAGCUAGAGUCCGGAAGAGGCGAGUGGAAUUCCUGGUGUAGCGGUGAAAUGCGCAGAUAUCAGGAGGAACACCAAUGGCGAAGGCAGCUCGCUGGGACGGUACUGACGCUGAGACGCGAAAGCGUGGGGAGCAAACAGG
rnacentral:rRNA from 1 species